rnacentral:rRNA from 1 species
CUGUGCAAAGGUAGCAUAAUCAUUAGUUUUUUAAUUGAAGGCUUGUAUGAAAGGUUGGACAAAGAAUAAUCUGUUUUUAUUUUUAUUUUUGAAUUUAACUUUUAAGUGAAAAGGCUUAAGUGAAUUUAAGGGACGAUAAGACCCUAUAAAUCUUUAUAUUAGAUUAUUUUUAGUUAUUUAAUAUUGUGAGUAUAACAAUAAAGUGGUAUAUAUUGUGUUGGGGUGAUGAGAAUAUAAUAAAUAACUGUUCUAAAAUUAAAACAAAAUUAUUUGUAUAAAUAAUAGAUCCUUUAUUGAGAUUAAAAGUUUAAGUUACUUUAGGGAUAACAGCGUUAUUUUUUUUGAGAGUUCUUAUCGAAAAAAAAGUUUGCGACCUCGAUGUUGAAUUAAAAUUUCUUUGUGGUGUAGUUGUUACAAGAGAGAGUCUGUUCGACUUUUAAAUUUUU